ACAUGUCGAAGAUGUUUGUUAUGAACUGUAAAAUUCAACCGACAAUGUACAUCCGGGAGAUUAUAUUUUUAUCUUCGAUGAAAAGCCUCCUAAGAGGGGAAUUCAAAGAAAUAAAAUAGGUCACCCACUUAGUGAAUCGCGGGUGUGAAUUUUAUAGGAAAACGGCAUAUUGGAUGUGUG
rnacentral:other from 1 species